AUACGGAGGAUCCGAGCGUUAUCCGGAUUAUUGGGUUUAAAGGGUGCGCAGGCGGCCAUUUAAGUCAGCGGUUAAAUCGUGGGGCUCAACCCCAUUCUGCCGUUGAUACUGGGUGGCUUGAUUGCGGUCGAGGUUGGCGGAAUUCGUUGUGUAGCGGUGAAAUGCAUAGAUAUGACGAAGAACACCGAUUGCGUAGGCAGCUGACCAGACCGCAAAUGACGCUCAUGCACGAAAGUGCGGGGAUCGAACAGGAUUAGAUACCCUGGUAGUCCGCACAGUAAACGAUGAAUACUUGUUUUCGGCGAUAUAAUGUCGGAGGCAAAGCGAAAGCGAUAAGUAUUCCACCUGGGGAGUACGCCGGCAACGGUGAAACUCAAAGGAAUUGACGGGG
rnacentral:rRNA from 1 species